GCCAGGGGUGGGUGUGGAACAUUCUUGGCAAGGACAUUCCUUACAAAAAUCUGAUUUCAUGUGAAGAUAUUUGGGGCAUUCUCUAUGUGGCGUGGAAUAGGGUGGGCGGCCAAGAAGAUAGGAAUACAUAUGGAUGGUUAGGGAUUCUUGAUCCAAUUCUAACUAAUUCUUGAUUCAAUUCUAACUAAUUUAAGAAUUAUUUACCACCAAGAAUCAAUUAAGUCCUAAUCCAAUUAAGAAUCCAAUUAGAUCCUAAUCCAAUUAAAAAAUUAAUUGAAUUAAAUCCUUAUCAAACUAAGGAUUGAU
rnacentral:lncRNA from 1 species